ACACUUGGGGUCUGGACGCAACGGCGGCGGGAGCAUGAACGCCCCUCCAGCCUUCGAGUCGUUCUUGCUCUUCGAGGGCGAGAAGUAAGUGACGCCGGCUGCGGAGGGCCGAGGAUCACCAUUAACAAGGACACCAAGGUACCCAAUGCCUGUUUAUUCACCAUCAACAAAGAAGACCACACACUGGGAAACAUCAUUAAAUCACAACUCCUAAAAGACCCGCAAGUGCUAUUUGCUGGCUACAAAGUCCCCCACCCCUUGGAGCACAAGAUCAUCAUCCGAGUGCAGACCACGCCGGACUACAGCCCCCAGGAAGCCUUUACCAACGCCAUCACCGACCUCAUCAGUGAGCUGUCCCUGCUGGAGGAGCGCUUCCGGACGUGCCUGCUUCCCCUUCGCCUUCUGCCGUGAUUGUCAGUUUCCUGAGGCCUCCCCAGCCACGCUUCCUGUACAGCCUGCAGAACUUCUGGCAUGGAAAAGCCCCUGUGCAACUGGUAAAGAUAUCAAUAAGCACCAGGAGGUAUCUAAAUCCACCAGGAGCCAUAGGCAUCACGUUGACAUCCAUUUACCAGUCU
rnacentral:lncRNA from 10 species